rnacentral:lncRNA from 1 species
UUUAAAUGGUUAUCGUAAACCAUAUGAUUAACGUCUGAGGAGUGUUUAUUUUCCUCUGCGAACAUUCUGUGAGGCUAGUGCCCACAUAUGCCUCGGCCCUCCAGGGAAUCGUGGUCCAGAGCUGAACCCACCAAGCCCCCAGCUUCUUCUAUCAGUUCAGUUCUGACUACUGGGGGACAGACACCACCUGACACUCGGUUUCUGCAGAUUCUCUUCAUGGGAGAAUUGGCCAGCUUGAGGAGUCGGGUUUUUUGUAAGGAAAUCAGGUCACACCUCUGUGACUCAUAGUGAGUUACAAGGCUGCCUGUAAUCACAGCACUUAGGAGGCUAAGAAGGCAAGAGGGCUGUGAGUUCAAAGUCAGUGUGGGCUGUAUAGUUAAGACUCCUGUCUCAAAACAUUAAAUUUAAUUAUUUAAGCCUUACAGAUCCGAAAUAUAGCUCUGACACAGGCAAGCCAUCCGAAAUAAAGGGUAACUGACCCAGUUCCAAAGCAAAAGGAGUUAAUGAUUAUCAGUUGCUCACCUGAAAUAUGCCAGUCUUUUUAGAUUUUUUUUUUUUGACUUGAAGUAAUCACUUUAGUCAUAUGAGGCAAAAAUACCCAAGAUGGCGACUCCUUGGUCUCAAUCAGUCAAUCACUCCAGCCCAUCUAGAAUGAGCUAACUCACUGUUCAAACGGAUCUGUAGGAAAAUAAGAAGACUGGGACAGUCCUACCCCCGCACCCCUCCUCCCCAAAAGCCAGGAAUGGCCUCCAGCUGAGAAGAGACAGCCCCUUUCCUUAUUCGCUCCUUGCUCCCCCUCCCUCCACAGUCCCUCUUCCUCCAUACCAAAAAAAUCGCUGCUUCUUCUCCUCACAGGAAUCCCAAGGCCUCCGCACCCUCCAGAUAUCUCUCCAUAUUACCCGCUGUCGCCCGGCACCGUAGGACAAAUCCCCCAUCCGCUAGGAUGGUUAGUACCACAGUAAGCAAUUCCAGUUUUUAAUUCCCUUUUUGUUUCUUGCAUGAGCAUGCU